UACGUAGGGUCCGAGCGUUGUCCGGAAUUACUGGGCGUAAAGAGCUCGUAGGUGGUUUGUCGCGUUGUUCGUGAAAACUCACAGCUUAACUGUGGGCGUGCGGGCGAUACGGGCAGACUGGAGUACUGCAGGGGAGACUGGAAUUCCUGGUGUAGCGGUGGAAUGCGCAGAUAUCAGGAGGAACACCGGUGGCGAAGGCGGGUCUCUGGGCAUUUCCUGACGCUGAGGCGCGAAAGCGUGGGGAGCAAACGGG
rnacentral:rRNA from 1 species